AUUUUGGACAAUGGGGGAAACCCUGAUCCAGCCAUCCCGCGUGUAUGAUGAAGGCCUUCGGGUUGUAAAGUACUUUUGGCAGAGAAGAAAAGGUAUCCCCUAAUACGGGAUACUGCUGACGGUAUCUGCAGAAUAAGCACCGGCUAACUACGUGCCAGCAGCCGCGGUAAUACGUAGGGUGCAAGCGUUAAUCGGAAUUAAUGGGCGUAAAGCGUGUUGAGGCGGGUCGGGAAGAAAAGAGUUAAAACCCAAGGCUUCAACCUGGGAAUGCAUUUUUAACCUGCGAGGUAGAGGAUGGUAGGAGGGGGUAGAAUUCCACGUGUAGCAGUGAAAUGCGUAGAUAUGUGGAGGAAUACCGAUGGCGAAGGCAGCCCCCUGGGAUAAUACUGACGCUCAGACACGAAAGCGUGGGGAGCAAACAGG
rnacentral:rRNA from 1 species